rnacentral:rRNA from 1 species
UACGGGGGGUGCGAGCGUUGUCCGGAAUCACUGGGCGUAAAGGGCUCGUAGGCGGUCCAUCGCGUCGGGAGUGAAAAGCUGGGGCUUAACCCCAGUCCUGCUUCCGAUACGGGUGGACUAGAGGUAGGUAGGGGAGAUCGGAAUUCCUGGUGUAGCGGUGAAAUGCGCAGAUAUCAGGAGGAACACCGGUGGCGAAGGCGGAUCUCUGGGCCUUACCUGACGCUGAGGAGCGAAAGCAUGGGGAGCAAACAGG